rnacentral:tRNA from 1 species
GCGGGUGUGGUGUACCGGUAACACGUCUCCUUGCCAAGGAGAAGACAGAGGGUCCGAUUCCCUUCACCCGCUCCA